UCAUGGACGCUAUAGGAGUCCUAUGUAGAUAUCAGAGGAGGCGAAGCAUCAUUGGAGGAUGGGACAAGUAUGUAGAUAUCAAAGGAAGCGAAGCAUCAUUGGAGGAUGGGACAAGUAUGUAGAUAUCAGAGGAGGCGAAGCAUCAUUGGAGGAUGGGACAAGUAUGUAGAUAUCAGAGGAGGCGAAGCAUCAGUGGAGGAUGGAACAAGUAUGAAGAUAUCAGAGGAGGCGAAGCAUCAGUGAAGGAUGAGACAAGUAUGUAGAUAUCAGAGGAGGCGAAGCAUCAGUACAGUAUGGGACAAGUAUGUGGAUAUCAGAGGAGGCGAAGCAUCAGUGGAGGAUGGAACAAGUAUGAAGAUAUCAGAGGAGGCGAAGCAUCAUUGGAGGAUGGGACAAGUAUGUAGAUAUCAGAGGAGGCGAAGCAUCAGUACAGUAUGGGACAAGUAUGUAGAUAUCAGAGAAGGCGAAGCAUCAGUGGGGGAUGGGA